AUGCACUACCCUAAUACUAAAGUUCUUAAUCUGCCUAUUAUUCUUAGUGAUCAUGCUCCCAUUUUAAUGUCGACAGAGGGCAACUUUGUUAAACCCAGACAAGCCUUUAAAUUUGAGAAUUGGUGGCUGAUGGAAAAGGAUUUUGCCAAUUUUGCUAAAUCUUCCUGGAACAAUUGUUCUCUUACUUCUUUUGCAGCCAAGACUUCUUCUUUGGCAGGUUCACUUAAAGUGUGGUGCAGGAAAAAGAAGUCCCUACAAAUUGAUCUUUUGGAGCUAGAAGAACAGCUCAAUCAGCUGCAACAACUACCAUCUCAGCAGCAGGACCAUGCUCUUGAAGGUGCUUUCACGGUCAGGUAUGAGCAGACUAUUUCCAAGCUUAAUCAGUUUUACAAGCAACGCAGCAAGAAAAAUUAG
rnacentral:rRNA from 1 species